CUGCUGCUGCUGCUGCAGUGCUGUGUGCGCAUCACAGGCCAACAGCCGGCCGGGGUUGGUGGCUGCACUCAGUACUCAAAUCAAAAUGCUGGAUCGUCUAUGUCAAAGGGGGGGAAAAGAGAUUCAUAUGCAGACGCGAUCCCCUAGCUUCCCCCGGAGAUGCUGCUUUGGUCUCUUCCCCUUGGUCCUCGACGACUCCAACCUGUGUUCUUUGUUUACAUUUCUUCUUUGCUUGUUCUUUGGAUUGUAAGCCGUUUCAGCACCCUUGUAUCCGCUAAUUUAACCGUCUGGGCUUUAUUCAGGGACUAAGUUCCAUUUUUUUAUCCCCUAUUUGUGACGCUGUUUAACCCCGUUUUAAAAUCUUUGGCACAUUUUACCUUCUAUUUGUACAAAUGUGUUAGAUUUUACCACUUUUAACAAAUUACCCUCGGUUGUCAUGUUGAGCCAACUAUAUAGUGGGCCCAUAUGUCAGAACCAGGAUAAUUUGUUAAAGGGGGUAAAUCCAUCAUGUUUGUACAACACAGGGAGUAAAAUGAGGCAGGGAUUUUAAAAUGGGAUAAAUAGUGUCAGAAAAGACCAGAUAAAGGGGUAAAAUUGGAAUUCACUCUUAUUUAGGCUCUGUUUGAUUAGGCUUAAAUGUGAAUUUUGAUUUUUGGCUUAUAAGCCUCAAAUACAAACUUCAUCAAGAAAUGUUGAAGUAUUAUAAAGGAUGACUUUUAUGAA